rnacentral:rRNA from 1 species
AUUUGUCCCCUAAAUAGGGACUUGUAUGAACGGCUAAAUGAGGUUCUAACUGUCUCAUUAGACUAAUCAAUGAAACUGAUCUCUCAGUACAAAAGCUGAAAUAAACUCAUAAGACGAGAAGACCCUGUGGAGCUUAAAACACAUACUAUAACUACCACCUUUUUAGUUGGGGCGACUUUGGAACAAAACAAAACUUCCAUGUCAGGUCCCUAUCAAGGCCAACACGCCAAAACAACCACUUAUUGACCCAGCGACCAAUAGCUGAGCAACGAACCAAGUUACCCCAGGGAUAACAGCGCCAUCCUCUUCAAGAGUUCCUAUCGACAAGAGGGUUUACGACCUCGAUGUUGGAUCAGGACACCCCGGUGGUGCAACCGCUA